rnacentral:rRNA from 1 species
GGCUCAGGAUGAACGCUAGCGGCAGGCCUAACACAUGCGAGUCGAACGGCAACAGGUGUAGCAAUACAUGCUGACGAGUGGCGCACGGGUGAGUAACGCGUAUGCAACCUACCUCUGACAGGGGGAUAGCCCCGGGAAGCCGGGAAUAAUACCGCAUAUAUUCGAGAUAUGGCAUCAUAUUUUGAAAAAAACUACGGUGGUCAGAGAUGGGCAUGCGUGCCACUAGCUAGUUGGUAGGGUAACGGCCUACCAAGGCUACGAUGGCUAGGGGGUCUAAAAGGAUGGUCCCCCACACUGGUACUGAGACACGGACCAGACUCCUACGGGAGGCAGCAGUGAGGAAUAUUGGGCAAUGGGCGGAAGCCUGACCCAGCCAAGCCGCGUGCAGGAAGACGGCCCUAUGGGUUGUAAACUGCUUUUAUACGGGAAGAAAACCGGUUUCGUGAAAUUGGGUGACGGUACUGUAUGAAUAAGCAUCGGCUAACUCCGUGCCAGCAGCCGCGGUAAUACGGAGGAUGCAGGCGUUAUCCGGAUUUAUUAGGUUUAAAGGGUGCGUAGGCGGGAUUAUAAGUCAGUGGUGAAAGAUUGCCGCUUAACGGUAAAAUUGCCAUAGAUACUGUAGUCCUUGAGUGUAGAUGAGGUUGGCGGAAUGUGUCAAGUAGCGGUGAAAUGCAUAGAUAUGACACAGAACACCGAUUGCGUAGGCAGCUAACUAAGCUACAACUGACGCUGAGGCACGAAAGCGUGGGGAUCAAACAGGAUUAGAUACCCUGGUAGUCCACGCCGUAAACUAUGAUAACUGGUUGUUGGCGAUAUACAGUCAGCGACUGAGUGAAAGCAUUAAGUUAUCCACCUGGGGAGUACGACGGCAACGUUGAAACUCAAAGGAAUUGACGGGGGCCCGCACAAGCGGAGGAACAUGUGGUUUAAUUCGAUGAUACGCGAGGAACCUUACCUGGACUUGAACGCAGAGAGACUAUGGUGGAAACAUCAUAUCCCAGCAAUGGGCUGUUUGCGAGGUGCUGCAUGGUUGUCGUCAGCUCGUGCCGUGAGGUGUCGGAUUAAGUUCCAUAACGAGCGCAACCCUUAUCGUUAGUUGCCAGCGGGUUAAGCCGGGGACUCUAACGAAACUGCCAGUGUAAACUGAGAGGAAGGUGGGGAUGACGUCAAAUCAGCACGGCCCUUACGUCCAGGGCUACACACGUGUUACAGUGGCCGGUACAGUGGGCAGCUACCUAGCGAUAGGAUGCUAAUCUCCAAAGCCGGUCUCAGUUCGGAUCGAAGUCUGCAACUCGACUUCGUGAAGCUGGAUUCGCUAGUAAUCGUAUAUCAGCAAUGAUACGGUGAAUACGUUCCCGGGCCUUGUACACACCGCCCGUC